rnacentral:rRNA from 1 species
AGUGAACGCUGGCGGUAGGCCUAACACAUGCAAGUCGAACGGCAGCACAGUAAGAGCUUGCUCUUACGGGUGGCGAGUGGCGGACGGGUGAGGUAUACAUCGGAAUCUACUUUUUCGUGGGGGAUAACGUAGGGAAACUUACGCUAAUACCGCAUACGACCUACGGGUGAAAGCAGGGGAUCUUCGGACCUUGCGCGAUUGAAUGCGCCGAUGUCGGAUUAGCUAGUUGGCGGGGUACAGGCCCACCAAGGCGACGAUCCGUAGCUGGUCUGAGUGGAUGAUCAGCCACACUGGAACGGAGACACGGUCAAGACUCCUACGGGAGGCAGCAGUGGGGAAUAUUGGACAAUGGGCGCAAGCCUGAUCCAGCCAUACCGCGUGGGUGAAGAAGGCCUUCGAGUUGUAAAGCCCUUUUGUUGGGAAAGAAAAGCAGCAGGUUAAUACCCCGCUGUUCUGACGGUACCCAAAGAAUAAGCACCGGCUAACUUCGUG